GUUAGGAUGGCAGAGCCUGGUUAUGGCAUAAAACUUAAACAUUUUUUAAACAGAGGUUCAACUCUUCUUCUUAACA
rnacentral:tRNA from 1 species